CCCUUAGAUGUCCUGGGCCGCACGCGCGCUACACUGACAUGUUCAACAAGCCUCCUAGUUCGACAGGAUUUGGGAAAUCUUUGAACGCAUGUCGUAAUAGGGAUAGAUCAUUGCAAUUAUUGAUCUUGAACGAGGAAUUCCUAGUAAACGCGAGUCAUCAGCUCGCAUUGAUUACGUCCCUGCCCUUUGUACACACCGCCCGUCGCACCUACCGAUUGAAUGUUUCGGUGAAGAUUCCGGAUAGGACUUUUUUGAUUUAUUUCAAUUUUGUCUUAAAAGCUAUCUAAACCUCAACAUUUAGAGGAAGGUGAAGUCGUAACA
rnacentral:rRNA from 1 species